AGCGAACGCUAGCGGCAGGCUUAACACAUGCAAGUCGAGCGCGUGUCUUCGGACACGAGCGGCGAACGGGUGAGUAACACGUGGGGAUCUGCCCUUUGGUGGGGGAUAACCCGGGGAAACCCGGGCUAAUACCGCGUACGGCCUACGGGUCAAAGUCUUCGGACGCCAAGGGGAUGAGCCCGCGGCCCAUUAUCUAAUCCUGGUUGGUGGGGUAACGGCCUACCAAGGGUACGAUGGGGUAGCUGGUCUGAGAGGACGAUCAGCCACACUGGAACUGAGACACGGUCCAGACUCCUACGGGAGCAGCAGUGGGGAAUAUUGCGCAAUGGGGGAAACCCUGACGCAGCCAUGCCGC
rnacentral:rRNA from 1 species